GAAAAUGGUUAUGCUAAUUAUGAAUAAAAUGAAAGUGUGAUGAGACUGACUUGGAUUAGUGGUGGUAAUGACACCGGUGUUGGAGAAAUCACAGUUGAAAUCAUGGCGGCCAUUGGCUUGGUAGUAGGCAUUCAUGGCGUAGGUGGCAAGUGCCUUCACGUUGUUGGGGGCAUAGCAUACUCCACCAGGUUGAAUAGGUUUACAAUCAAUUCCUUGGCUGCAGACAUAGUUUAUGUUUGCUUGUAAAGCUGCAUCGUUAGCAUCUGCCUUUGGCACGCACCAUUUUCCACCUCCGGGUGCCGGUGCAGGACCAGGUUUUGUCGACGGUGCAGGUCCAGGUUUUGUCGACGGUGCAGGUCCAGGAUUUACAGGUGCAAUAUUCUGUAUUAUGGCAAGAAAUUGAAUAAAUUUAGUAAAAUAAUAAUAAUAAUAAAAAUAUGAUAUAAUGCACAAGCCAUGUGAAAGAGAGAGCGGUGGAUAGAUUCUGCCUGAUAAAGCAGGGGUGGUGUGGGGCAGAGGAAGGUGGAUACACCUCUAUCUCAACCGUUUGAUUGGGUGGUAUUUAUAUUAUAAAGCGCAAAGAGAUUCAUAAUCAACGGUUGGUUUUUGAAGGAUGAAAAGGACAAGCGAUAAACCUG
rnacentral:lncRNA from 1 species